rnacentral:rRNA from 1 species
CAGUCGCCACGGGAAUACGUAGGUGGCAAGCGUUGCCCGGAAUUAUUGGGCGUAAAGGGCUCGCAGGCGGUUUCUUAAGUCUGAUGUGAAAGCCCCCGGCUCAACCGGGGAGGGUCAUUGGAAACUGGGAAACUUGAGUGCAGAAGAGGAGAGUGGAAUUCCACGUGUAGCGGUGAAAUGCGUAGAGAUGUGGAGGAACACCAGUGGCGAAGGCGACUCUCUGGUCUGUAACUGACGCUGAGGAGCGAAAGCGUGGGGAGCGAACAGGAUUAGAUACCCCGGUAGUCCCUGUCUCUUAUAU